rnacentral:rRNA from 1 species
UGGUGGAGUGAUUUGUCUGGUUUAUUCCGAUAACGAACGAGACCUCAGCCUGCUAAAUAGUUCCGUCAACACUCUGUAUGGGUGAAGCAGGGGAUGCCUUGCCGGUUCUCCGGGAUCGGUAAGCGACCCUUGUGGAUCUCGGAAGCGUUGAUUGUUGUCGUCCUUGUGGCGGCAAAAUAGAACUUCUUAGAGGGACAAUGUUGCGUUUAGCACAUGGAAGUUUGAGACAAUAA